GGGAUCAUAGCUCAGCUGGGAGAGCAUCUGCCUUACAAGCAGAGGGUCAUAGGUUCGAGCCCUAUUGGUCCAU
rnacentral:tRNA from 1 species